rnacentral:tRNA from 1 species
CAGAUUGUAGUUGAUAUUAAAACAAUAAGUUGCAAACUUGUAGAAAAGAUUUUUAAAAAUCUUCUAUCUGG